AGGUUGUUUACAUUCAUCUCUCAAGACGCACGACUCAGAUCCACAAUCUUCACUGAAUCACCAAUUUUACCGAUGACCAUCAGCCAGGAAUAGAGCCUGAGCGAAGGUUUAGCAAACAGAGCGUAACAGUGCCAUGGAGUCGGCGCUGUAAAACGACCGAAGCCCCGCAUCCCAGUCCAGAUGAACCCCGACUUUCCGUGGAGGCUCCGGCACCGACAGUGAUGUCUCUACCCCGCCAUGCCACACUCAGCAGAUAGUGUCAAGUUUCCUUAGACUCCAGGAGAUGUCACUCCCUCCCAGGAUACACUCAGUGCCACCCCAUUUCCGUGGGGUGGUCCCAUACGCGACUCCGAUCCAACACCGCGGAGCGCUCCCCACGUCCAAAGAUUUCUCCAAGACGAAGGUCUACCUGGAAUUCCCUGUGAGAAGGGUGAGCAAGGACUUGCAGGCUGCUCGGGAGCCUCACCUUCGCCGCUUGCGUUCUCCGUCAAACUCUCCUCCACCUCGGAUGCUUCCAUCGGCGUCACCAUCACCGUGCCGCCGGGGGGCGUCGUCCCCUUCGACACCGUCCUGGUCAACGGCCAGGGCAUCUACGACACCCACUACAACAACGUCACGAGCCCCGUAGCUGGACUUUACUUUUUAUCCUUCCACCUCACCCUGGGAAGACGAAGAGAAGCAGGAGUGAGAGGAGCGUAUGUGAAUGUGCAGUUGGCGACGAGAAAGGCGGGCUUUGACAGUGAGAAGGGGAAGAUCAUGGCGACUUUCGGCGGCAAGACUGACCAGGAGAUUUCUGGCAGCGCCGUGGUUGCGCUUGCCGCCGGAGACUCCGUGUGGCUGCGCGCGCAACCAGCGAACGCAGCCGAUCUGGUCAUUGUGCCCAGGGAGGGGGGGGACAGCAUCUUCUCCG